CCCUGCUGACUGAGAGGUAAAGAAUCUGCCUGCCAUGCAGGAGAUUCAGGUUCAAUUCCUGGAUCAGGGA
rnacentral:tRNA from 1 species